UCAUACCUAAAGCCACAUUAACUUCAGAGAUAGCAAUGAUAAAAUCGCCAGUCGAUGCCCUUAAACGUCCUACGUGCUACUUACCAAAGUACAAAGUCAUAACAAACCGGAUAGAUAAAAUGCAUAAAUCCAUAAUACAACUUACAAGCCAAGUAAUCGAAUUAGGGUUUACACGUUUUCCAGCUUCAAGUGGCAAUCCAAAAAGUAAAAUACAUUAUCCCAAAUAACACAUUACAACCCACAGAAUAAGUUAUAGUAUUCAAAUGCAGUCCAAAAGAAAAAAAAAACAUAAGUAAGCAUCCAGCUUUCAGUUUCCAGAACCUGUUAAGGAAAACAAUAAACGUGGGGUGAGCUAAAGCUCAGUGGUGCCCCAAAACAUGCAAUCACAUAAUUUCAAACAGCGAUUAAUAACUGAACAACUUUAAACAGUUAGGAAAGCAUAUAACAGCACAAGGUAGGAUACGUGGGCUCUCAGGAGCCAUUUUCCACGCUUGAUCAGAUACCAUCGUAGUUGACCCUCCGUCAACUUUCACUACUUGUAGUCCAUGUAGAUCCACUUAUUUUAAUCCUAACCCGUCACCGUUCAUACCUCUGCUUCGGGCCCGAACUUCGCCUACCGACGCAGUAUACUCGAGAUAUACCCGUAUAAAAUUAGUCGAAAGAUUCACCCAAUGACGUUAUUGCAGUUAGAUUCACGCGUCGAGGGAUUUACCUAACGACGUACUGCAGUUAGAUUCACGCGUCGAGGGAUUCACCUAACGACGUAAUUGUAGUUUGAUUCACGCGUCGAGGGAUUCACCCAACGACGUAACUACAUUUAGAUUCACGGAUUUAUUAGAAAAUGUUUCACACAAGUCACCACUCGAACGGUUAGUGUGAUAAAGUACCCACCGCUCACUUCGAUGGAUCAAAAACCAAUUUUUGCAAAUAUCACAUUUUAAUUCAAGAAAGCACUUUAAUCACGUAGGAAUAGAACAAGCAGGGACACUCACCAAGAGUGGAGUUCAGAUAUCAAGUUGGGGAUCGAAUUCCGCGUCCUCGAAAAACCCUAAAAACCAAAAUUUGAAACUAUAAGUUUCUACUUAGUUUUUAAGCUUAUAGACAUUGAGGUAUAUUUAAUAUACUACUAGUUCACUUUCCCUUAGAAAAAUCAAGAGUUCCUUAGGUUAAAACUUGACAAAAGUAGAAGAGAUAUUUCUUAUAGUUUUCCUUGAGGUAUUUUUCUAAAAAAAAUAACUAGUAUUAUUUUCUUGAAAUAAGUCGACAAACCUCUCAAGAUCAAUGUUAGAAAGUUACUUUGAACAUUUCUCCAAAGUUACGGCUUUUGCAAAAAUUAUCCUUAAAAACUAUUUUUCCUAAAAUAGGGUUUCUAGCCGAGCAAGUUUUCCAAGCUUUUCACUAAAAUUAGUAAAACUCGUAUUUUGGAACUUUUCCUAUAGUUAACUAGCCAAGAGAAAUAUUUAAUGGAAAGAAAAGGAAUAAAAAUAAGACUUAGGGUUUUCAAAAGCUAUAGAACUUAUUUACUAAAGCUAUCAAGGCUAGUUUGAGCUAAAGGAAAUUAUCGGGUUGGAAAGUUUUAUGCAAAGCACUAGAUAUGGAGUUUUAUAAUAUAAUAUUAGCUGGAAAAAUAUUUUUUGAUUACUUUGAUCACAGUUACUCGAGUUCGCAUGGUCGAUACAACUUCCACAGCUCCGAUUCCGUUUCGAAAUCAUAAUAUGGAUCAAAAUAUGGCAAAAAUCACAUAGCAAAUUACUAGGGUUUCGUCAAUCAUUAGCCCUAGAUUUCAACAAGUGCAUUUCUGAAUAAAAUAAAAUGAUCAACCAAGGCUUCAUCAAUCAUUAGCACUUGGUUUCAGCAAACCCAUCAUAAGCAAAUAAAAAUAAAAGUAAAGCCUCCAAGACAUUCCAGCAAUUAACUUUCAUCGCCCAGUAGUACUUAUAAAAUCAUUGAAAUGGCUAAGGGCUUCAUCAAUCAUUAGCCCUUGACAACAUCAUUCACUUCCAACUACAAUUCAAUCAAAAAUUUAAACCACAAGUAAGCUAAAAUCUCAAUCCAAAACCCAAUUUCAGUAUCACAAAGAAACAGGACAUUCGAAAAUCUGAAAUUUCAAUUUUUCACUUGUGAGAACUCCUUUUCUCUUUUAACACCAACAUGUUUUUAUUUAAACCAUCAUACACUUCUUAUAGAACUCCAAAACAACAUUUUCCAAGCAUUUCCAUCCAUCAAGUUUCAAGGAACAAUUUAAAGAAAAAAAAAACAAGUUAAGGUUCCAACUCACCCUUUGACUAUCACUUAAGAAUUUCCAACAUGUAUAACCCAACAUUUUCUGAUUCCAUAUUCAAUUUAUCAAAUAUUUCAUUGAUAACCAACUUACACAACUUAAAACUUACAACUCCUCUGUAUUUCUAAGCCAUUAUAUUCCAAGGAAAAAUCCAGAAAUAGUUUAAAAUCCAAAAGAAAACAAACUGAAAAUUUCUGAUCAAACCUCUCGGCUAUUCCAGAAUUUUUCCAGCACUUGGGUGUUUAUAAAUCAAAUUUUCCUCGGCUAAAACAUGGUUUUAGAUACCCAAAUUAGUCAUGCAAAAACUUAUCUAGCUAAUUAAUAUUUCCAAUUCAAAAUUUAACUCAAACAACAGCUGCAAAUCCCCAAAACUUCCAGAAAUUUUGUACAGCUAGCUUCGGACAAACAGGCAUGCAACAGAUGGCAUUUCUAUUUUAUUUUUCUGGUUUAAACUAACUAAUUAGCUGCAUGCAGAGCCUAAUUAACUUGUUAUUAACCAUCUAAUCAUGGUUAUAAGUUUAAACAACAACAUCAAUAACAACAACAACAAAAUCGAACCAAGUUAGGCUGCAAUAAUCCAGCUAAGCUCUCGGUAGUUUCUAUACUAGCACCUAUCAGAAAUUCUUUUCUUAAAAAUCUCAUCCGGAUGCCUAACCCCCACAUGCAAGUUCUUAGAUGACUUAACCUUAUUGUUAUUAGUUGGUUAAACACCAAAUUGAGCUCAGAUUAUCGCAGGAAGUCAGAAAUAAAAUUACAAAUUCAAGCCAGUUCCUCGGCAGAAAUUUUCCUAACCAAACCAGAAAUAUUUCUCUGCUUUAACACUUCAUCCGAAUGCCCAAUUCAACAUGCAUGGUCUUAAUCUUCAAGUUUUCACUCAGCUAAAGACACUUAGGUGUUCAGAUUGUCACAUAAAAACACAAUUGGAGCUGCAAUAACAGCUCAAAGUCUCGGUAGCAACAUUUUAUCAAAACAGAAAUUUUUCCUAAUGGUUUGAUUUCAGCAUCCGAUUGCCUAAUCCCUACAUGCAAGCUCUGAUAUAGCUUGUUCAACUAAUAAACAACCUAAUUAAUCCAGAAUUUACCUUAGAUAGCAGCUAAUCUCUCACACGAAAAUUUCCAGAAAUUUCUUCCUUGCUCACGGCUUCAAGUGCAGUCGGUGGUUCCUGGCUUCUAAGUUGCGGCUGGAAUUGGUUGUAGCUGGUAGAUUUGAGUUUGGUUGGUUGGAGUUGGUAGGGAUGAAGGUACACAAUGGUAAAGCUUCCUGCAAAUCUCCUCCCUGGCUUCACUCCAACUCACGGCAGAACCAGAAAUUUCUGGCAGCUCACGUUCCCUCCUUCCUAGCUCACGGAUGCAGCUCACCAAGUGGCUCUCUCUCUCGGAUGCUCUUGGUCGAAUGCAAAGGAAGAGGUGAGGCGCGUCUGUGGAGAGGAUUUGCAGCGGUUUCGAUGGAGUUGUGCAGAGAAGGAAAUGAGAUUCGAUGAAGGUGGAGUCUCGGUAUUUAGAAAGGAGAAAUGGUUUGCGGUUUGGUUUUGUGCAGAGAAGGAAAUUGAAUUGUGUCUUGUGGUUGUG
rnacentral:lncRNA from 1 species